AGUGAGGUCGGCGCCCGCCAGUAACAAACAUGGCUCCCUGAAGCCGCUCAGGCUCAAGAGCAACAUGGAGGUCUGCACUUAAUCGCUCCUCUCCGGGGGCGGCCAUACCGAGGAGGCGUCUCUUCCGUGCAGGCAGGCUCUCCUGGGGACCUCAGAGAUUCUCUCCAGCGGCAGCGGAAAACGGACAAUGGGUGGAUUCGGGUCCAGAUUCUGGUAGGAGGGAGUUUGGGAUCGAGAUCUGGAAAAAAGCACUAGACUGGAAGAGGACGCGAUGGAGUCGGAGCCGCUGGCGGGGACAAAAACCAGAGGCCGGGGAAGGCGCCGGUGGGAGGCAAGGCACGGAUGGACUUUACCUGCGCACGCGUCGCAGCCAUCUCCGCGCACAGUGGUGGCCACCGCGACUGGUGCUGAAGUGUUGGCGCGUGCCGGGCGCUCCGCUGGGACCCGGGUUGCUGGCCCUGAGUCUCAGCUUUCUCAUCUGUACGGUUGGGACAAGUACAGUAACCCUCGCCCGUCAAGACGGGCCAGGGCUGUGGCGAGGGUCCACGCCUUAGAGCAGGUACCUAUCUUGUGCAGGGCCCUGAGAUGGGGUCUGACUCAGUUCCUGCGGGGAACUUCACCAGUGACCCAGUCAGUGCCCUUCAGUUAAAGACCACCAGGAGCACACUUGCAGGAGUAGGGCUGAUUGGAGCCAUUGUACAGUGUCGGGAACAUACCAGGACACUGAGAAUAGUGUCAUGUCAUAAGGACCCAGAGCAGAUGGACCCUGCUGUGAUGCACAAAGGAGCUGGGCUGCUUGGAUCAGAGGUUCCAUGGUCUGAACUACUCCACUCUGGUGAAGGUUUCUUCCCCAAAGCCACUCCUCAAGCUGACUUAUAUUGUACCUGAGUUGCAUGCCUGUGCUCCAAGAGCAGACGUCCUUCCGCAGGAGCAGGUCAUUAAGAGUCACUGCGUUGAUCAUGUAGAAGAGCUGUUUGAAUACCUGCAGGAUGAUCUCAGGGUCCAAGCCCUGGUCACACAUGACUGUAUGAAAGGCAUUCAUCUGGCGGAUGAUAGCUUCCAGGCGGUAUGAGUUAUCCCCAUCUGCCAUGCUGGAGGAGUGCUUCUGGGAGCCAGUGGGCUUCACACCAGAUAGACCCUGAAUGCUGUCAUUUUCCAACAUGGCAGAAACUAUCAUCGGCUGUAACACACCCUCGGCAAUUUUAAAGAGCUGCUGGUAGAUCUGAAUGGAAAGGUCGCUCAGUACCUGACGGUAUUCGGUGAGGUCAAAGUUCUUAAGGCAGUGUUCGUUGUGCUUUGCUGUAUUCUGAGUCAUGAAGCCCUCAUCCCCGCUGUACCGCUUCAGACAGUGAAGAAGGUGGCAGGUGUUGGAUAACAGGAAUGACGUCAUCUCAAAGUCAUCACUGUGCUUCUUCAGGACUUUCUUAAUGCCGUUGGUGGUGGAGGUCAUCAGGGAGUGCACCUUGAGAUCAUCGUUGGUUUGGUCCGCGAGCCGAAUGCACAUGUAGAGGAUGUAGGCGGAGAGACAGGGCACUGUGUCCAACAGCAUCUGGGGCUUCAAGUCUGUCACCAGGUUGAGGAUGAGGAGGGCCUCGCCCUCUUUGCGGCACUCCAACAUGCCCUGGAAAUCCUUUUCUUUCCACUGAACUGGGACCUGCCUGUUGAACUCAUGGCGCUUCCUCUCACUCUGGGCCAACGCCUGGGCAGCUUCUUCAUGUAAAUCUUCAGUUGCUUUUAGAGCUUCCUCUCAUUCUUUUCCUCUUACUUUAUUUUUCACCACAGAGCUUCCUAUCAACUAGUAUGUUGAAUAUUUUGCUUAUUAACUUUGUUUAUUGUCUUCUCCCUCGAUUAGAAUAUUAGCUACUUGAGUACAAGGAUUUGAGCCUGUUACAUUCACUGCUGAAUUUUAGGCUCCUGGAAGAUACCCAGCAUUCAAUAGAGACCACACAAUAAAUAUAUGUCAAAUAAA
rnacentral:lncRNA from 1 species